UUCGGUCAUAUCCAGUUGAAACACGGGUUCCCGUACGAUCGCCGACGUUAAGCAUAGUCGAGCCUGGUGAAUAUUUAGAUGGGUGACCGCUUGGGAAUAUCCGAUGUUGUAAG